rnacentral:sRNA from 1 species
AAAACCCUAUUUGUCUGUGUCCUUCCUUUGAGGAUCGAGUAACUUUACGAGACACACCUUCACAAUUUACUUUUUGGUGGCCUUCUUCAUACGACACUCUUUAUUAUUCAUUGUUCACUAUUAAUUUGGUAUUGUUCAUUCAUUGAGCGACAUUAUUCAUUCGCUGAGCGAAUUGACCAACUUGUUAGGUGAUAAUUAAGCUUGUGG